AGAGCGAACGCUGGCGGCAUGCUUAACACAUGCAAGUCGCACGAAGGUUUCGGCCUUAGUGGCGGACGGGUGAGUAACGCGUAGGAAUCUAUCCAUGGGUGGGGGAUAACUCUGGGAAACUGGAGCUAAUACCGCAUGAUACCUGAGGGUCAAAGGCGCAAGUCGCCUGUGGAGGAGCCUGCGUUCGAUUAGCUUGUUGGUGGGGUAAUGGCCUACCAAGGCGAUGAUCGAUAGCUGGUCUGAGAGGAUGAUCAGCCACACUGGGACUGAGACACGGCCCAGACUCCUACGGGAGGCAGCAGUGGGGAAUAUUGGACAAUGGGGGCAACCCUGAUCCAGCAAUGCCGCGUGUGUGAAGAAGGUUUUCGGAUUGUAAAGCACUUUCGGCGGGGACGAUGAUGACGGUACCCGCAGAAGAAGCCCCGGCUAACUUCGUGCCAGCAGCCGCGGUAAUACGAAGGGGGCUAGCGUUGCUCGGAAUGACUGGGCGUAAAGGGCGUGUAGGCGGUUUGUACAGUCAGAUGUGAAAUCCCCGGGCUUAACCUGGGAGCUGCAUUUGAUACGUGCAGACUAGAGUGUGAGAGAGGGUUGUGGAAUUCCCAGUGUAGAGGUGAAAUUCGUAGAUAUUGGGAAGAACACCGGUGGCGAAGGCGGCAACCUGGCUC
rnacentral:rRNA from 1 species